CAUUUUUGGAUGCAAGAGUUGGGAAGAAAAAGUUGGACUGAAUCUCACAGACACUACUGAAUGCUCCCUUGGUAAAAUUUCCAACAGAGUCUAUUUGUAGAUGUUUAAGGUGACAUCCAUGGAAGUUUUAAUAAUGGGUUGAUUACCUCAAGAACAAGUACAGAAUAUACGAGCGAAUGUAUAACCAUUAUGGGUGAGGUGAGAAAAAUGCAAUUUGGGUUAUUUGAGCUAAAUCACUUUGUAUAUACCUCCAACCACCAUGAAAAAAGACAAAACGUUUAAAAGGUAAGAAGUAAUUAUUGCUUGUUUUUUUAAAAGAGAAAGUUCUAUACAUUGCAAGUAAACAUUCAGCUUUAUUUCUUGGAAAUAAUUAAUAAUGCGUUAGCUACACAUAUUUUUAUGUUGUACCCAAAUAUCUGCAAGAUUUUACAUAUUCUUGCCUUGCCAUAGUGCCAGUAACGACCAGUUUCCUGUGAGAGAUCUAUAUCAACGCUACGACGAGUAAAGACAUAUUCAAGAAACUUGAUGACCCAGGGUCAAUUUAAUGGUUUGGUGUUGCUAAAUAUCCACAACGAGAUGAGAAUAAAUUUAGAUGACAUAAUCGAUAUGCUGGUAAAAAAUAAAAUGUUAAAUAUCCUGAACGACGGUUAAAAGUGUAGCAGUCUUGAUAAAAAAGGAAUAAAUCUUGUAUAUUAUAUGUAUAUAAAUUCCCUAGAAGUAAUAAGGCAUGACAUCAAAAUUUUUAAAAAACAACAUUUUAAUUACUCAAGUUGUACAAAAAAUAUUCAAAAAUAUAAUCUUCGUCAGCUAAAAAAACAUUCAAAAUUAUAAUCUUCGUUAUUACUCAAGUUGUACAAAAAAUAUUCAAAAAUAUAAUCUUCGUCAGCUAAAAAAACAUUCAAAAAUAUAAAAAACUAAAAAACCCACUAUAUACCUACUUAUCAAAGAUAAGUCUGAAAGAUGAUUUUAAGCUAUUUUAGCCGUUUAAGGGCGUUGCCCUGGACCCAUUGGGGGACACCCCCAAACCCCCAGUUGUAAGAUCUUCUCUUUGAGGCUUUUUUACACCAGUCAAAAAAAAUCCUAGA